CUGAUACUUACGACCAAAUCUAGAAAGAAAUCGAAGCAGUUGUUCUCUGUAGAAACUACGCCUAACCUUGUUCCUUCUACCAGCAGACAAGCCCAACACAUGCCUGCCAGUCCAAUGGUGGGUAGAAGUGUUUUGUUUGUUGUUUUGGUUGCCGUUUUUUUUUGGUUUUUCUGUGUGUGUGGGGGGGGGGAGGGGGGGAAUGUCAUGUUUCCGAAAGAAGUGUAGUAUUUUGGAGAGAAAAUGUUUUGUUUUCGUUUGAAAGGUGGUAUUUUGUGGGAGAUGAUGCUUAACUGCGGGGCGAAAAGUAGGAUCUGGGGGAGAAAAUCCAUUUCUGGGUCGGAAAGAAUAGGACAUUUUCUCCCCCAAGUACCCCUUGUCUCACCGAAACAAGACUCUUUCACCACUAAAUACCACUACUCUCCACAAAAACAUGACUUCUCGCCUGCCAAAUACAAAGCUGUUUGCUUUCCAAAAAGACGACGUUUCCUUCGCGCGCUCCCUUUUUUCUCCACAACAUGCAAAUUCUCUCUCCAAAACAGGACAGUUUCUCC
ensembl:lncRNA